GACGAACGCUGGCGGCGUGCUUAACACAUGCAAGUCGAACGGUGAAGCGCCUUCCUUUUUGGUGGGUGUGGAUGAGUGGCGAACGGGUGAGUAACACGUGAGUAACCUGCCCCCUUCUUCUGGAUAACCGCAUGAAAGUGUGGCUAAUACGGGAUAUUCUGGGUCUGUCGCAUGAUGGGUCUGGGAAAGAUAUUGUUUCGGUGGGGGAUGGGCUCGCGGCCUAUCAGCUUGUUGGUGGGGUGAUGGCCUACCAAGGCGGUGACGGGUAGCCGGCCUGAGAGGGUGGACGGUCACACUGGGACUGAGACACGGCCCAGACUCCUACGGGAGGCAGCAGUGGGGAAUAUUGCACAAUGGGCGCAAGCCUGAUGCAGCGACGCCGCGCGAGGGAUGGAGGCCUUCGGGUUGUGAACCUCUUUCGCCAGUGAAGCAGGCCUGCCUCGUUUGUGGGUGGGUUGACGGUAGCUGGAUAAGAAGCGCCGGCUAACUACGU
rnacentral:rRNA from 1 species